GGGGGCGUACAUGGUUUCGACGGGGAUCAUGGAUGCCGGAUAAGCGAGUCGAAGCCCCGAGCUUCGCUAAAAUCGGGAAAACUUAAAAAUAAACGACGAAUCUAAUUUCGUACCCGUCGCUGCUUAAUUAGCGACUGUCCGCCCGUAGUUGCCCACGACUGCGGAUACGGGCAUCAUCAAUGUGGGGAACCAGCCUGGGAGUGUCUUGGCUCGGGUGGGAUUAAGAGACUACUAAAGCCGUAACCCUGUUGGUGGGGGUGCGGCUGAGGGAAUGUUAAAACACCGACUACGCUCGUAGAAAGUCUUGCAGACAGGUUUUCGGACAGGGGUUCGACUCCCCUCGCUUCCACCA
rnacentral:sRNA from 2 species